CUGUUCUUCCCCACUGCAAAAUGGUUUUAACUUCGAGGUGUUAAAAAUAUUAUUGUUGGGGAAUAGAAGAGGACCAAGGUAAGAGUCUUACAGGACACAUAUCAUCAGGAAGUAUAAAUUAAAUGAAGAUAUAGCAAAUGAGAGUGAGGAGUGGCCAGACAGGAAAAUUCUUCACAUGCUGUGGAGUAGAUGUCCCCUUACAUUGCUGACAGGAUUAAAGUCUCUCACCUACCCUCUAUCUGGUUUUACCAGGGUGUGGCCACUGCUCAUGCUAUAGUUUCUUGGAGCCGCAGAAAAGACUUGAAUGAACUGAUGCAGAAUGAAGUGAGCAAAACCAGGAGAACAAUACACAGUAACUUCAGUAUUUUAUCAUGAUGAACUGUGAAUGACAACUAUUAUCAGCAAUGCAAGGAUCUGAGACAACUCCAAGACACUCAUGAUGAGAAAUGCUCUC
rnacentral:lncRNA from 1 species